rnacentral:rRNA from 1 species
GACAGAGGUGCCGAGCGUUAGGCGGAAUCACUGGGCUUAAAGCGUGUGUAGGCGGGUCGUUAAGUGUCUUGUGAAAUCCCACCGCUCAACGGUGGAACCGCUGGGCAUACUGGCGAUCUUGAGCAGUCCAGGGGCGAGCGGAACAAGCGGUGGAGCGGUGAAAUGCGUAGAUAUCGCUUGGAACGCCGACGGUGAAAACAGCUCGCUGGGGACUCGCUGACGCUGAGACGCGAAAGCGUGGGGAGCGAACAGG